rnacentral:siRNA from 1 species
UAGAGGUGUCAGAAAAGUUACC